GAUGAAGAACGCAGCGAAAUGAGAUAAGUAAUGUGAAUUGCAGAAUUCAGUGAAUCAUCGAAUCUUUGAACGCACAUUGCGCCCGCCAGUAUUCUGGCGGGCAUGCCUGUUCGAGCGUCAUUACAACCCUCAGGCCCCCGGGCCUGGCGUUGGGGAUCGGCGGAGCCCCCCGUGGGCACACGCCGUCCCCCAAAUACAGUGGCGGUCCCGCCGCAGCUUCCAUCGCGUAGUAGCUAACACCUCGCGACUGGAGAGCGGCGCGGCCACGCCGUAAAACACCCAACUCUUCUGAAGUUGACCUCGAAUCAGGUAGGAAUACCCGCUGAACUUAAGCAUAUCAAUAAGCGGAGGA
rnacentral:misc_RNA from 1 species